AAGAGCAGAAUUUCCAAAGAAUACUUAAUUAACAACCUAUGUACAUAUUUGAACCUGGCAGAAAAAUAGGGAUAACUUAAAAUCCAUAUUUAACAAGUUAAAGAUAGCACAGCAAAGGCAUAUCUGCCUUGGUUUCCCCUCUGAAAUGAUCUAAAACACCAAGACAGAAAAAUAAAGAGGAAAUCUUUGAUAAAGUUAGAAAACAGUUACCACUUUAUGUCACAGGACCUGGUUUAGAGAAGAAUCAGAAUGUUGACAUGGGAGCCCUUGUCAAUCCUGGGAUUUGGCAUUUUAUAUUCCUUACUCCAUGUGUCCCUUAGAACUACAGAGCUAUGUAUGCCAGAGGGCUUGAACACAUGUUUGUAAGGAGCAGACUCUAGGUGUAGUAGAAGUGAGAUGAAAAUUAGAAGACAAUUGGUUUUGCCAUUUUGGCAAAUCAUUUUGUUCCACCAAAGAAAAAAUAAUGUUAAAUCCCUACACUAUGGACCUAUAAUAUAUGGGCCCCCAAUGUAAUUCUUGUCAAAAAUGCACUAUGUAUCAGAAGUAUUGGUUUUAAUCCCAAGACAGAAUGUUAAUAAAGUACUGGGUAGACAACAACCAAACUGUAAACUGACUUUAUAAUAAUCUCACUCCAGAAAGAGGCUUCAUUCAAAGAGGAACAGUAACUAAAAGGAAAUCAGCAUGUGACCUAUGAAAAAGACACUAUGAGAAAGGGGAAACAUGGACCAAGUGAUGGAUAAAGUGAUGAAAAACCAUGUGAAACAGAGCCUGUGAUCCCGGCAGAAGUCGACCUUCAUCAGCUAACUAGCAGCGGCUCAGCAAGAGAGUGAUCCCUAGUGAGGCCAGAGGAGCAGCCCACCAGAUUUCAGCCAAAACCAGCACAAGCUCAGUUCAUAAACUUACUCAGAUAGGGGUAGUUGUGAUACAGAAUUAUCACUUUAUUGUAUGCAUUGUAUAUAUUGUCUUGCAUGACACAGAAGGUAAUCAUAAAAAUAGUGGAAAGUCAGCAACUGGUAGAAUGAAUAUGGAUGAAAAUGGAUA